UACAGAGGGUGCGAGCGUUGUUCGGAAUUAUUGGGCGUAAAGGGCGCGUAGGCGGUGCGGUAAGUCACCUGUGAAAUCUCCUGGCUCAACUGGGAGCUUGCAGGCGAAACUGCCGUGCUGGAGUGUGGGAGAGGUGCGUGGAAUUCCUGGUGUAGCGGUGAAAUGCGUAGAUAUCGGGAGGAACACCUGUGGCGAAGGCGGGUCUCUGGGCCGAUACUGACGCUGAGAAGCGAAAGCGUGGGGAGCGAACAGG
rnacentral:rRNA from 1 species